rnacentral:lncRNA from 10 species
AGACUCCUCUGCGGGAGAGGAGAAUAGCUGUACUCUAAGCAGUUCGCAGGGAGCAUCUUUCAGCAGCUGAAACAGCUUUGCGGCCUUGCUGUAAUGAAGAUCUGCCAGCACCCGGUGUUGUUUCCUAAGGUGUUCAUCACCAACCUAGAACCAAACCAAAACAAGCAACAAAUCCUUCACGAGAAAGAAAGAAAACAACUGUGUAAGCAGACAUCAGUGUAAACCUUAGCACUGUCUCUUGAUGAGAUAAGAGGAGGAUGGCAGUGACAGGAGUGUGGUGGCGAGCCAGUCACCUGCAGUCAACCACGGCUCAUUGCUCUCACCAUGCCUGUUACAUGAAGGUAUGUAUGUAUAGGAAAAAGCACUGAAAAACUCUCCAGUUUCAGGCAUCCACUGGGGAUCUUGGAACGCAUCCUCCAAGGAUAAGUGGGGUCUACUGUACAACACUUAAGUAUAACCCUCUUCACUAUUAACCAAAUGAUAUUAAAAUAAGCAAAGAAAAACA